GGGCCAGUGGCGCAACGGAUAACGCGCCUGACUACGGAUCAAGAGAUUCCAGGUUUGAAUUCUAGCUGGCUCG
rnacentral:tRNA from 1 species